GACGAACGCUGGCGGCGUGCCUAAUACAUGCAAGUUGAGCGCUGAAGGUUGGUACUUGUACCAACUGGAUGAGCAGCGAACGGGUGAGUCACGCGUGGGGAAUCUGCCUUUGAGCGGGGGACAACAUUUGGAAACGAAUGCUAAUACCGCAUAAAAACUUUAAACACAAGUUUUAAGUUUGAAAGAUGCAAUUGCAUCACUCAAAGAUGAUCCCGCGUUGUAUUGGCUAGUUGGUGAGGUAAAGGCUCACCAAGGCGAUGAUACAUAGCCGACCUGAGAGGGUGAUCGGCCACACUGGGACUGAGACACGGCCCAAACUCCUACGGGAGGCAGCAGUAGGGAAUCUUCGGCAAUGGACGAAAGUCUGACCGAGCAACGCCGCGUGAGUGAAGAAGGUUUUCGGAUCGUAAAACUCUGUUGGUAGAGAAGAACGUGGGUGAGAGUGGAAAGCUCAUCAAGUGACGGUAACUACCCAGAAAGGGACGGCUAACUACGUG
rnacentral:rRNA from 1 species